rnacentral:rRNA from 1 species
AUUGAACGCUGGCGGCAGGCCUAACACAUGCAAGUCGAGCGGAUGAAGGGAGCUUGCUCCUGGAUUCAGCGGCGGACGGGUGAGUAAUGCCUAGGAAUCUGCCUGGUAGUGGGGGAUAACGUCCGGAAACGGGCGCUAAUACCGCAUACGUCCUGAGGGAGAAAGUGGGGGAUCUUCGGACCUCACGCUAUCAGAUGAGCCUAGGUCGGAUUAGCUAGUUGGUGGGGUAAAGGCCUACCAAGGCGACGAUCCGUAACUGGUCUGAGAGGAUGAUCAGUCACACUGGAACUGAGUCACGGUCCAGACUCCUACGGGAGGCAGCAGUGGGGAAUAUUGGACGAUGGGCGAAAGCCUGAUCCAGCCAUGCCGCGUGUGUGAAGAAGGUCUUCGGAUUGUAAAGCACUUUAAGUUGGGAGGAAGGGCAGUAAGUUAAUACCUUGCUGUUUUGACGUUACCAACAGAAUAAGCACCGGCUCACUUCGUG